rnacentral:rRNA from 1 species
UGGGGAAUAUUGGGCAAUGGGGGGAACCCUGACCCAGCAACGCCGCGUGAAGGAAGAAGGUUUUCGGAUUGUAAACUUCUGUCCUUGGUGAAGAGGAAGAGACGGUAGCCAAGGAGGAAGCCCCGGCUAACUACGUGCCAGCAGCCGCGGUAAUACGUAGGGGGCGAGCGUUGUCCGGAUUUACUGGGUGUAAAGGGCGCGUAGGCGGGACUGCAAGUCAGAUGUGAAAUGCUGGGGCUUAACCCUGGAACUGCAUUUGAAACUGUGGUUCUUGAGUAUCGGAGAGGCAGGCGGAAUUCCUAGUGUAGCGGUGAAAUGCGUAGAUAUUAGGAGGAACACCAGUGGCGAAGGCGGCCUGCUGGACGACAACUGACGCUGAGGCGCGAAAGCGUGGGGAGCAAACAGG